CAGUCGCCGCGGUAAUACGUAGGUGGCAAGCGUUGUCCGGAAUUAUUGGGCGUAAAGGGCUCGCAGGCGGUUUCUUAAGUCCGAUGUGAAAGCCCCCGGCUCAACCGGGGAGGGUCAUUGGAAACUGGGAAACUUGAGUGCAGAAGAGGAGAGUGGAAUUCCACGUGUAGCGGUGAAAUGCGUAGAGAUGUGGAGGAACACCAGUGGCGAAGGCGACUCUCUGGUCUGUAACUGACGCUGAGGAGCGAAAGCGUGGGGAGCGAACAGGAUUAGAUACCCCGGUAGUCCCUGUCUCUUAUAC
rnacentral:rRNA from 1 species